rnacentral:rRNA from 1 species
AUUGAACGCUGGCGGCAUGCCUUACACAUGCAAGUCGAACGGCAGCACGGGUGCUUGCACCUGGUGGCGAGUGGCGAACGGGCGAGUAAUACAUCGGAACGUACCUUAUCGUGGGGGAUAACGCAGCGAAAGCUGUGCUAAUACCGCAUACGCCCUGAGGGGGAAAGCGGGGGAUCGCAAGACCUCGCGCGAUUAGAGCGGCCGAUGCCUGAUUAGCUUGUUGGUGGGGUAAAAGCCCACCAAGGCGACGAUCAGUAGCUGGUCUGAGAGGACGAGCAGCCACACUGGGACUGAGACACGGCCCAGACUCCUACGGGAGGCAGCAGUGGGGAAUUUUGGACAAUGGGGGCAACCGUGAUCCAGCAAUGCCGCGUGAAUGAAGAAGGCCUUCGGGUUGUAAAGCUCUUUUGUCAGGGAAGAAACACCGGCUCUAACACAGUCUGGGAAUGACGGUACCUGAAGAAUAAGCACCGGCUAACUACGUGCCAGCCGCCGCGGUAA